GAAUAGAGUAGAAUAGAAGAUUUUUGAGUGACAAUUUUUACCUGAUCAUAAUCAGGAGGGGGCUUAUAGUCAAUUAUUAUUUUGCUG